CAACUCAUCUCGAGCUACAAUGAGUGCCAGCUUCAUUUAUAUAUCCUUCUUCCCAAAUCUCCUCCAUAUCUGAUUUCACAUGGAAAGAAUCACAGGCAGAGUGUUUAUAUAAUUCUUCUGCAACUUGGUGACUCUGAUGCAAAAUCAUUUUUGAUAUCCUUGGAAGAGAAGAGGCACUGACACCUACACAUACAACAGAAAAAUACUCUGUGACAGCCAAGGCACAGAUUGGACUCAUGCAGCUGCAAGCUGAGGAAUGGCAAGGACUGUUGACCACUGCCAGAAGCUAGGAGAAGGCAAGAAAGGAUUCUAUCCAGAGUCCUAGAGAAAGCACGGUCCUGCUGACAUCUUGAUGUGGG
rnacentral:lncRNA from 13 species